rnacentral:rRNA from 1 species
UACGGGGGGGCAAGCGUUGUUCGGAAUUACUGGGCGUAAAGGGCUCGUAGGCGGCCAACUAAGUCAGACGUGAAAUCCCCGUCGGCUUAACCGGGGAACUGCGUCUGAUACUGGAUGGCUCGAGUUUGGGAGAGGGAUGCGGAAUUCCAGGUGUAGCGGUAGAAAUGCGUAGAUAUCUGGAGGAGCACCGGUGGCGAAGGCGGCAUCCUGGACCAACACUGACGCUGAUGAGCGAAAGCCAGGGGAGCAAACGGG